UAGCGUAGGGGGCAAGCGUUGUCCGGAAUCGAUUGGGCGUAAAGAGCGUGUAGGCGGCCCGAUAAGUCCGCUGUGAAAGUCCAGGGCUCAACCCCUGGAAUGCCAGUGGAAACUGUCGGGCUGGAGUCCGGAAGAGGCGAGUGGAAUUCCUGGUGUAGCGGUGAAAUGCGCAGAUAUCAGGAGGAACACCGGUGGCGAAGGCGGGUCUCUGGGCCGAUACUGACGCUGAGGAGCGAAAGCGUGGGGAGCGAACAGG
rnacentral:rRNA from 1 species